AUCUACGGCCAUGCUACCCUGAGUGUGCCUGAUCCCGUCUGAUCUCAGAAGCUAAGCAGAGUUGGGCCUGGUUAGUACUUGGAUGGGAGACCACCCAGGAAGACCAGGUGAUGUAGGUG
rnacentral:rRNA from 1 species